GACUAGAGUUUGAUCCUGGCUCAGAUUGAACGCUGGCGGCAUGCUUUACACAUGCAAGUCGACGGCAGCGGGGUGCUUGCACCUGCCGGCGAGUGGCGAACGGGUGAGUAACAUAUUGGAAUGUACCGAGUAGUGGGGGAUAACCAAUCGAAAGAUUGGCUAAUACCGCAUACGUCCUGAGGGGGAAAGCAGGGGAUCUUCGGACCUUGCGCUAUUUGAGCAGCCAAUAUCUGAUUAGCUAGUUGGUGGGGUAAGGGCCCACCAAGGCGACGAUCAGUAGCGGGUCUGAGAGGAUGAUCCGCCACACUGGGACUGAGACACGGCCCAGACUCCUACGGGAGGCAGCAGUGGGGAAUUUUGGACAAUGGGGGCAACCCUGAUCCAGCCAUGCCGCGUGUCUGAAGAAGGCCUUCGGGUUGUAAAGGACUUUUGUUAGGGAAGAAAAGGGAAGUGUUAAUACCACUUUUUGCUGACGGUACCUAAAGAAUAAGCACCGGCUAACUAC
rnacentral:rRNA from 1 species